GGCCUCAGGUCCCUGGCACCUAAACGGAGCUGCUGCCACCGCCGCCAUGUUUGGCUGCUUGGUGGUGGGGAGGAUGGUGCAAACAGCUGCACAGCAAGUGGCAGCUGUUUUUGACUUGCCUGAUUAUGAAAGUAUCAACCAUGUUGUGGUUUUUAUGCUGGGAACAGUCCCAUUUCCUGAGGGAAUGGGAGGAUCUGUCUACUUUUCCUAUCCUGAUUCAAAUGGAAUACCUGUAUGGCAACUCCUAGGAUUUGUCAUGAGUGGAAAAACAAGUGCCAUCUUCAAAAUUUCAGGUCUUAAAUCUGGAGAAGGAAGCCAGCAUCCUUUUGGAGCCAUGAAUAUUGUCCAAACUCCAUCUGUUGCUCAGAUUGGAAUUUCAGUGGAAUUAUUGGACAGUCUGGUUCAGCAGACUCCUGUAGGCAGUGCUGCUGUAUCUUCAGUUGACUCAUUCACUCAGUUCACACAAAAUAUGUUGGACAACUUCUACAAUUUUGCUUCAUUGUUUGCUAUCUCUCAGGCCCAGAUGACACCAAACCCAUCUGAAAUGUUCAUUCCAGCAAAUGUGGUUUUGAAAUGGGAUGAAAACUUUCAAAGACGACUAGCACAGAACCCUCUCUUUUGGAAAACAUAAUUUGAAUAAAAUAAUUUGUAAUGGAUUCUGAAAUUUGUCAUGUUUUGAAGAUAAAUGACUCCAUUUAAAAGCAUGAAGUCAAAAGAAUCAUGAAACCCAAGUUUAAAAACUGCUUAGUGUGUGGAGCUUAAUUAAAAUCUUUAUACAAAAUUAAAACCAUUGAAAAAUGAAAAUAUGGUCAAUCAUCAAUGACUUUCCCCUCCUUAAGCUUUAAAUACUUUGAAACCAUUUUGUUUUGGCUAUUCACUUUUUUCUUAAAAAUAAACCUUAUUCAUGACAAA